UGGGGGAUAUUGCACAAUGGGCGCAAGCCUGAUGCAGCGACGCCGCGUGGGGGAUGAAGGCCUUCGGGUUGUAAACUUCUUUUGCUCUGAACAAGGCGCACUUUGGGGUGUGUUGAGUGUAGGGGUUGAUUAGCGCCGGCUAACUACGUGCCAGCAGCCGCGGUCAUACGUAGGGCGCGAGCGGUGUCCGGAAUUAUUGGGCGUAAAGGGCUUGUAGGUGGCUGGUUGCGUCUGUCGUGAAAGCUCAUGGCUUAACUGUGGGUGUGCGGUGGGUACGGGCUGGCUUGAGUGCAGUAGGGGGGGCUGGAAUUCCUGGUGUAGCGGUGGAAUGCGCAGAUAUCAGGAGGAAUACCGGUGGCGAAGGCGGGUCUCUGGGCUGUUACUGACACUGAGGAGCGAAAGCGUGGGGAGCGAACAGG
rnacentral:rRNA from 1 species